rnacentral:rRNA from 1 species
GACGAACGCUGGCGGCGUGCUUAACACAUGCAAGUCGAACGGAAAGGCCCUGCUUGCAGGGUGCUCGAGUGGCGAACGGGUGAGUAACACGUGGGUGAUCUGCCCCUUACUUUGGGAUAAGCCUGGGAAACUGGGUCUAAUACUGGAUAGGACCAUGCUGUAGGUGGUGUGGUGGAAAGAUUUUUUCGGUAAGGGAUGAGCUCGCGGCCUAUCAGCUUGUUGGUGGGGUAAUGGCCUACCAAGGCGUCGACGGGUAGCCGGCCUGAGAGGGUGGACGGCCACAUUGGGACUGAGAUACGGCCCAGACUCCUACGGGAGGCAGCAGUGGGGAAUAGUGCACAAUGGGCGCAAGCCUGAUGCAGCGACGCCGCGUGGGGGAUGACGGCCUUCGGGUUGUAAACUCCUUGCAGCCAUGACGAAGCCGCUGUUGGGGUGACGGUAGUGGUAGAAGAAGCACCGGCUAACUACGUG